rnacentral:lncRNA from 1 species
UUUGUUAUAAAGGUCCCUCAAUCGACUGAUUCAAUAUAAUCUUAAUCAAAUUUGAGCAAUUUCAAAAUUGCUUUCAAAUGAAGUACAGAUGAGUCUUUAAUGACUUUUUUAAUUCUCAAAAUACUAUAAUUAAUUUUUAAAAAUGACACCACCUCUACCUCCACAUCCAACUCCACUAUCUUCACUACCACCACCACCACCUCCUCCUCCUCCACCACCUUCACCUACAUCUCUUUC